CCUACGGGAGGCAGCAGUGAGGAAUAUUGGUCAAUGGACGAGAGUCUGAACCAGCCAAGUCGCGUGAAGGAUGACUGCCCUAUGGGUUGUAAACUUCUUUUGUAAGGGAGUAAAACGAGGCACGUGUGCCUUUUUGCAUGUACUUUAUGAAUAAGGAUCGGCUAACUCCGUGCCAGCAGCCGCGGUAAUACGGAGGAUCCGAGCGUUAUCCGGAUUUAUUGGGUUUAAAGGGAGCGUAGGUGGGUUGUUAAGUCAGUUGGGAAAGUGUGCGGCUCAACCGUAAAAUUGCAAUUGAUACUGGGAGUCUUGAGUGCAGUUGAGGUAGGCGGAAUGCGUGGUGUAGCGGUGAAAUGCCUAGAUAUCACGCAGAACCCCGAUUGCGAAGGCAGCUUACCAAACUGCUACUGACAUUGAGGCUCGAAAGUGUGGGUAUCAAACAGGAUUAGAUACCCGGGUAGUC
rnacentral:rRNA from 1 species